AUUGAACGCUGGCGGCAUGCCUUACACAUGCAAGUCGAACGGUAACAGGUCUUUCGGGAUGCUGACGAGUGGCGAACGGGUGAGUAAUACAUCGGAACGUGCCUAGUAGUGGGGGAUAACUUCUCGAAAGAGUGGCUAAUACCGCAUGAGAUCUAUGGAUGAAAGCAGGGGACCUUCGGGCCUUGUGCUACUAGAGCGGCCGAUGGCAGAUUAGGUAGUUGGUGGGAUAAAAGCUUACCAAGCCUACGAUCUGUAGCUGGUCUGAGAGGACGAUCAGCCACACUGGGACUGAGACACGGCCCAGACUCCUACGGGAGGCAGCAGUGGGGAAUUUUGGACAAUGGGCGCAAGCCUGAUCCAGCAAUGCCGCGUGCAGGAUGAAGGCCUUCGGGUUGUAAACUGCUUUUGUACGGAACGAAAAGUCUUGGGUUAAUACCCUGGGAUCAUGACGGUACCGUAAGAAUAAGCACCGGCUAACUACGUGCCAGCAGCCGCGGUAA
rnacentral:rRNA from 1 species